rnacentral:rRNA from 1 species
GAGUUUGAUCCUGGCUCAGGAUGAACGCUAGCGGCAGGCUUAACACAUGCAAGUCGAGGGGUAUAAGUCUUCGGAUUUAGAGACCGGCGCACGGGUGCGUAACGCGUAUGCAAUCUACCUUUCACAGAGGGAUAGCCCAGAGAAAUUUGGAUUAAUACCUCAUAGUAUAUAGAGUUGGCAUCAACACUAUAUUAAAGUCACAACGGUGAAAGAUGAGCAUGCGUCCCAUUAGCUUGUUGGUAAGGUAACGGCUUACCAAGGCUACGAUGGGUAGGGGUCCUGAGAGGGAGAUCCCCCACACUGGUACUGAGACACGGACCAGACUCCUACGGGAGGCAGCAGUGAGGAAUAUUGGACAAUGGGCGCAAGCCUGAUCCAGCCAUGCCGCGUGCAGGAUGACGGUCCUAUGGAUUGUAAACUGCUUUUGCACAGGAAGAAACAACUCUACGUGUAGAGUCUUGACGGUACUGUGAGAAUAAGGAUCGGCUAACUCCGUGCCAGCAGCCGCGGUAAUACGGAGGAUCCAAGCGUUAUCCGGAAUCAUUGGGUUUAAAGGGUCCGUAGGCGGUUUAGUAAGUCAGUGGUGAAAGCCCAUCGCUCAACGGUGGAACGGCCAUUGAUACUGCUAGACUUGAAUUAUUAGGAAGUAACUAGA